rnacentral:lncRNA from 1 species
GGCAGAGAGGGGACUGGUCUGCUGGCAACGCUGGCACUUGGCGAACAGCUCAGCCUUCAUUCACAGGAUGCUUCAUUAACAGCGCACAGCCUUGGAGGGGUUCAUUCAGCUACCACAAAGCCUAACCAGGUGGCAGCCAAACCCAGAUAACUGAACUCACUGAAAUUGGCCUGCAAGACAGCAUCACUCAGUCAUCCCAGCCACGAGGACCCUAAACCUGUGCCAAAGCCCCCUGAGAAACCACAACCCCGGCUGCCAAUGCAGAGCCUUCAAGGCUUCCUCGAGAGCCAUUUCUUCCCUUGGCUCGGAAGCUGCUGAAACUCAGACCAAGUCAACCCAGCGUGCUCCCACAGGCUGAACCCGUUUCCUCUGUCGAGUUGCUGCAAUGGUUAGCAGGCAUGGAUGGAGACUCAUUUCUGUUGGCUGGAAUCUUUCUGUUUAAAUGGAAAAAGAAGAGAAGUUAGAAAACAAAACAGCAUGCAAUAAAGCACUACAAUGAAUAAAAUAACUGGAGUAC